rnacentral:rRNA from 1 species
GACGAACGCUGGCGGCGUGCCUAAUACAUGCAAGUCGAGCGGACUUGAUGAAGUGCUUGCACUUCUGAUAGUUAGCGGCGGACGGGUGAGUAACACGUGGGUAACCUGCCCAUAAGACUGGGAUAACAUCCGGAAACGGAUGCUAAUACCGGAUACACAAUUUGGUCGCAUGGCCGAGUUGGGAAAGGCGGAGCAAUCUGCCACUUAUGGAUGGACCUGCGGCGCAUUAGCUAGUUGGUGAGGUAACGGCUCACCAAGGCGACGAUGCGUAGCCGACCUGAGAGGGUGAUCGGCCACACUGGGACUGAGACACGGCCCAGACUCCUACGGGAGGCAGCAGUAGGGAAUCUUCCGCAAUGGACGAAAGUCUGACGGAGCAACGCCGCGUGAGUGAUGAAGGUUUUCGUAUCGUAAAGCUCUGUUGCCAGGGAAGAAAUGCCUAGGAGAGUAACUGCUCUUAAGGUGACGGUACCUGAGAAGAAA